GGACGGGUCGCAUAGCGGUUUAGUGCGGUCGCCUGGAAAGCGGCUGUGGGGUUAAACCCACCGAGGGUUCGAAUCCCUCCCCGUCCG
rnacentral:tRNA from 1 species